AGGGAACUAGCUCAGUGGUGGAGUGCAUGCUUAGCACGCACAAGGCCCUGGGUUCAAAUCCCAGGACCUCCA
rnacentral:tRNA from 1 species